rnacentral:rRNA from 1 species
UACGUAGGGUGCAAGCGUUGUCCGGAAUUAUUGGGCGUAAAGAGCUCGUAGGCGGUUCGUCGCGUCGGCUGUGAAAUCCCGAGGCUCAACCUCGGGUCUGCAGUCGAUACGGGCGGACUGGAGUUCGGCAGGGGAGACUGGAAUUCCUGGUGUAGCGGUGAAAUGCGCAGAUAUCAGGAGGAACACCGGUGGCGAAGGCGGGUCUCUGGGCCGAUACUGACGCUGAGGAGCGAAAGCGUGGGGAGCAAACAGG